rnacentral:rRNA from 1 species
AAUGAACGCUGGCGGCGUGCCUAACACAUGCAAGUCGAACGAACACACGGGGAGCUUUCGCCCCUGACGUUGGCGGCGGACGGACGGGUAACACAUGGAUAGCAUACCUCUAAGACUGGGGUGAUAACGUCGAACAAGAUCUACUAACCGAGAAUAUGUCGCACUGCAUGGAUCAACAGUUAAAUACGCUCUUGCUGACAGUAAUAGCCGAACCCGCGUCGCAUUAGUUGGUGGGUAAGGUCAAGGCUUAGCAACGCUACGAUGCGUAGCCGACCUGAGAGGGUGGUCGGCCACACUGGAACUGAGACACGGUACAGACUCCUACGGGGGGCAGCAGUGGGGAAUCUUACGCAAUGGGCGAAUGCCUGAUGGAGCAACACCGCGUGAGUGAAGAAGGACUUCGGAUUGUAGAGCGCUGAUGUUAGGAAAGAACAAAAGCGUAUUUAACCGUGACCGUCUUGACGGUACCUAAAGAAUAAGCACCGGCUAACUACGUG